rnacentral:rRNA from 1 species
CAGCCAUCAUUUAAAGAAAGCGUAAUAGCUCACUGGUCGAGUCGGCCUGCGCGGAAGAUGUAACGGGGCUAAACCAUGCACCGAAGCUGCGGCAGCGACACUAUGUGUUGUUGGGUAGGGGAGCGUUCUGUAAGCCUGCGAAGGUGACCUGUGAGGGUUGCUGGAGGUAUCAGAAGUGCGAAUGCUGACAUAAGUAACGAUAAAGCGGGUGAAAAGCCCGCUCGCCGGAAGACCAAGGGUUCCUGUCCAACGUUAAUCGGGGCAGGGUGAGUCGACCCCUAAGGCGAGGCCGAAAGGCGUAGUCGAUGGGAAACAGGUUAAUAUUCCUGUACUUGGUGUUACUGCGAAGGGGGGACGGAGAAGGCUAUGUUAGCCGGGCGACGGUUGUCCCGGUUUAAGCAUGUAGGCUGGUUGUCCAGGCAAAUCCGGAUAAUCAAGGCUGAGGUGUGAUGACGAGGCACUACGGUGCUGAAGUAACAAAUGCCCUGCUUCCAGGAAAAGCCUCUAAGCAUCAGGUAACAUUAAAUCGUACCCCAAACCGACACAGGUGGUCAGGUAGAGAAUACCAAGGCGCUUGAGAGAACUCGGGUGAAGGAACUAGGCAA